rnacentral:rRNA from 1 species
GCAUGCGGCGUUCUAUAAUGCAGUCGAGCGAUGGAUUGAGAGCUUGCUCUCAAGAAGUUAGCGGCGGACGGGUGAGUAACACGUGGGUAACCUGCCCAUAAGACUGGGAUAACUCCGGGAAACCGGGGCUAAUACCGGAUAACAUUUUGAACUGCAUGGUUCGAAAUUGAAAGGCGGCUUCGGCUGUCACUUAUGGAUGGACCCGCGUCGCAUUAGCUAGUUGGUGAGGUAACGGCUCACCAAGGCAACGAUGCGUAGCCGACCUGAGAGGGUGAUCGGCCACACUGGGACUGAGACACGGCCUAGACUCCUACGGGAGGCAGCAGUAGGGAAUCUUCCGCAAUGGACGAAAGUCUGACGGAGCAACGCCGCGUGAGUGAUGAAGGCUUUCGGGUCGUAAAACUCUGUCGUUAGGGAAGAACAAGUGCUAGUUGAAUAAGCUGGCACCUUGACGGUACCUAACCAGAAAGCCACGGCUAACUACGUGCCAGCAGCCGCGGUAAUACGUAGGUGGCAAGCGUUAUCCGGAGUUAUUGGGCGUAAAGCGCGCGCAGGUGGUUUCUUAAGUCUGAUGUGAAAGCCCACGGCUCAACCGUGGAGGGUCAUUGGAAACUGGGAGACUUGAGUGCAGAAGAGGAAAGUGGAAUUCCAUGUGUAGCGGUGAAAUGCGUAGAGAUAUGGAGGAACACCAGUGGCGAAGGCGACUUUCUGGUCUGUAACUGACACUGAGGCGCGAAAGCGUGGGGAGCAAACAGGAUUAGAUACCCUGGUAGUCCACGCCGUAAACGAUGAGUGCUAAGUGUUAGAGGGUUUCCCGCCCUUUAGUGCUGAAGUUUAACGCAUUAAAGCACUCCCGCCCUGGGGAGUACGGCCGCAAGGGCUGGAACUCAAAGGGAAUUUGACGG